rnacentral:lncRNA from 1 species
CUGGUGUCUCAGAAAGCGGUGGCAAAGAGAUAUCAUCAGGUGAUAUACACUCGUAUUCAUCUCCGGAGGGUACUUCUUCUGCCAGGAAUUCAGUCUGUAAACUAUCCUCUUUGGCUGAAGAUGACAGCUCUGUAUCCUGUGAAACAAGAUCCUCACCAGCUGGGCAGAUAAUUGGAAUAUCAGCCAAUUUAUUCCUCUCCUGUUUGGUGUUGGUAGGAGACAGGAUAUUGUUUCUCUUCUCAGUAACGUAUUCUGAAUUUAUAAGCAACAUAUCUGACCCCAUCUGAUACUUUUUUCCAUCUGCUUUGUCCUCACAUUCUUCUUGACUAUUUCCUUCUUUUUGAACAG